GAAAAACUCCAAAAGCUUUUUAACCUUUCAACCUUUUUUCUCUCCUUCCAGAGCACCGAGCGGCUCGUCGCAUCCAAACAACCCUGGCGAAAGUGGAAAGGAGACUGGAACUGGGAAGGGAAACGAGACGCAGGACGCACGAGAGCAGCGAUUCCAGAAACGUGCUCCAAUCCCCCUGCAGUCCAGUGGCCCCCGUGUGUUUGGCAGCUCCGCUCGGGGCCCUUUCGCCAAAGACGCAGGCGAAGGGAACCGAAGCGAGCCAGGCGCCGUGAAAGCAGACGAUCAGAGACUUCUCCUACGCUUCUGAGAGAUCAUCGAAGUUUCAUCUGACAUUAUUGCUCCGACGGGCCGCACGCCGAGGAGGUUUGGUGACGACGGGCGUUCAGAUGCAUUUUCAUCAUUUCUGAAAUCAACAGACGUGAGGUGUCGGAGAGCUCGGCGUCUGUGCGGCGACGUCGCGCGCGCGCGUGUGUGAGAGUGUGUAUGUGUGUAUGUGUGAGUGUGUGUGUGUGAGCGUGAUGGAGCGUUUCCAUCGGGUGAUGGAGGAGAGUCUGGGUUUGGUAAGUGGAUCUCACAUCUCGCUGCUCACAGCUCUCUCUCUCUCUCGUCGAGGGGGAGGAGAGGCCAGAGGAUGGACAUAAUCUAAUGACCAUUUCUACACACUCUCCCUGGUUACCCUGGAGACACACACACACACACUGAUGUUGUUUGAAUUCUACAAACUUAAACUCAAAGCUUAACCUUUUUUCGAACCGUGUUGCUGUGAUUUAAAACCCCUUAAGCAGCGUUUCCCUUUUAGUAAUCUCAUGCCACACACACACACAUAAAUAUACAUAUAUAUAUAUACAUAUAUAUAUAUAUACAAUAUAUUCUGGAUCAGCUUCACUUCACAGAAAACUACAUGUUUCAAACUGUGCGAGUGAAAUAUUUAAACUCCCACAUAUUUUAUUGCUGCGCCUUCCCAUCAAAAUGGGAAUAUUCUGAAUAGCUUGUCUUUUUUCCUUCUUUAUUGUUUUUACACAUUUCCGAAAAAUUCCUGCAGACACAUUUGGCGUCUUUGGAAACUGUGGGAUUUCCACUUGAGUCAAAAAAUAAAGGCGUUCUGGUUUGAAAACCACGCUUGUCUGCGCGCGCUGAGCUUUUAAAGAGGGAACGUGAUCAAAGUGUGAUUUGUGGAAUACUCGUGGACGUUCUAAAACAAGUUGUAGGAAACUGUUUGUACAGCCGCUCCGGGAGGAGUCGGCGUCGGCUGGGUUUGAACGGUAAAAUGCAAAAAAUGUGACGAAGCUGAAGCCCACUUGCAGGGUCCUGGAAACAUCUCAAAUUUUUCCUCGCAUGAUUGGCGACUAAACGAGGGCAAAUAAUCAAUAAUCAAUGAAAAGAAAACAUUCACCCGGAUUCACCUUAUCGGUGGACUUUACGAGAGAGAGAGAAUUGUGCUUAAAAUGUGUCCACCCCUUUGUUCACGUACACAAACGUACAACAAGGAACUAAAACAAGACAGAUGUCCAUGUGCAUGAGCUCACACAAAUGAAGCAUGUGCACACAAACAACAUGUCAUCACACACACACACACACACACACACACACACUCACGGACAGUCACGCCCUCGCCUGACUUUAAAGUCAGCCGGAAGGCCUGUAAACAACACACUGGAGUUUAUUUUAAUCAGCUGUGUGUGUGUGUGUGUGUGUGUGUGUGUGUGUGGACUGUGAA